rnacentral:misc_RNA from 1 species
AACUGAUACUACCUGCGGGAACCUGCGGAAGGAUCAUUAACACGUAUCCAAUAUACACCUUAUUCACCCCUUUAGUGUCAACAUGUACCGUUAAAAAUCAAAGCCUCUACGCACUGCGCUUCUUUCUUAUGAAUGAAAGUUGUUUGGUUUGGCUCACGCAGUCCGCGGCUUUGAGGGAAGAGAAAAUAAGCAACAACUUGUUUUUUCUUCUCUUUUUAGUGAUAAUCUCAGAGCAAAACG